GAUGAACGCUAGCGGCAGGCCUAAUACAUGCAAGUCGAGGGGUAGAGAGAGCUUGCUCUCUUGAGACCGGCGCACGGGUGCGUAACGCGUAUGCAACCUACCUUUAUCUGGGGGAUAGCCCGAAGAAAUUCGGAUUAACACCGCAUAAAAUCACAGAACGGCAUCGUUAAAUGAUCAAAUAUUCAUAGGAUAGAGAUGGGCAUGCGUGCCAUUAGUUAGUUGGCGGGGUAACGGCCCACCAAGACCGCGAUGGCUAGGGGAUCUGAGAGGAUGGCCCCCCACACUGGUACUGAGACACGGACCAGACUCCUACGGGAGGCAGCAGUAAGGAAUAUUGGUCAAUGGAGGCAACUCUGAACCAGCCAUGCCGCGUGCAGGAAGACAGCCCUCUGGGUCGUAAACUGCUUUUAUUCGGGAAUAAACCUGCUUACGUGUAAGUAGCUGAAUGUACCGAAGGAAUAAGGAUCGGCUAACUCCGUGCCAGCCGCCGCUGUAAAAC
rnacentral:rRNA from 1 species